rnacentral:rRNA from 1 species
UAGGGAAUAUUGCAAAAUGGGCGAAAGCCCGAUGCAGCAACGCCGCGUGGGCGAUGAAGGCCUUCGGGUCGUAAAGCCCUUUUUGAGGGGAUGAGGAAGGACAGUACCCUCAGAAUAAGCCUCGGCUAACUACGUGCCAGCAGCCGCGGUAAAACGUAGGAGGCGAGCGUUAUCCGGAUUUACUGGGCGUAAAGCGCGUGCAGGCGGAUUGGAGAGUUGGAUGUGAAAGCUCCCGGCUUAACUGGGAGAGGUCGUUCAAUACUUCCAGUCUUGAGUGCAGUAGAGGGAAGUGGAAUUCCGGGUGUAGUGGUGAAAUGCGUAGAUAUCCGGAGGAACACCGGUGGCGAAAGCGGCUUCCUGGACUGUAACUGACGCUCAGACGCGAAAGCUAGGGUAGCAAACG